rnacentral:rRNA from 1 species
GGUGAACGCUGGCGGUAGGCCUAACACAUGCAAGUCGAACGGCAGCACAGUAAGGGCUUGCUCUUACGGGUGGCGAGUGGCGGACGGGUGAGGAAUACAUCGGAAUCUACUUUUUCGUGGGGGAUAACGUAGGGAAACUUACGCUAAUACCGCAUACGACCUACGGGUGAAAGCAGGGGAUCUUCGGACCUUGCGCGAUUGAAUGAGCCGAUGUCGGAUUAGCUAGUUGGCGGGGUAAAGGCCCACCAAGGCGACGAUCCGUAGCUGGUCUGAGAGGAUGAUCGGCCACACUGGAACUGAGACACGGUCCAGACUCCUACGGGAGGCAGCAGUGGGGAAUAUUGGACAAUGGGCGCAAGCCUGAUCCAGCCAUACCGCGUGGGUGAAGAAGGCCUUCGGGUUGUAAAGCCCUUUUGUUGGGAAAGAAAAGCAGCAGGUUAAUACCCCGCUGUUCUGACGGUACCCAAAGAAUAAGCACCGGCUAACUUCGUG